AACGAACGCUGGCGGCAUGCCUAACACAUGCAAGUCGAACGAGACCGUCGGGUCUAGUGGCGCACGGGUGCGUAACGCGUGGGAAUCUGCCCUUGGGUUCGGAAUAACUCGCCGAAAGGCGUGCUAAUACCGGAUGAUGACGUAAGUCCAAAGAUUUAUCGCCCAAGGAUGAGCCCGCGUUGGAUUAGCUAGUUGGUGAGGUAAAGGCUCACCAAGGCGACGAUCCAUAGCUGGUCUGAGAGGAUGAUCAGCCACACUGGGACUGAGACACGGCCCAGACUCCUACGGGAGGCAGCAGUGGGGAAUAUUGGACAAUGGGCGAAAGCCUGAUCCAGCCAUGCCGCGUGAGUGAUGAAGGCCUUAGGGUUGUAAAGCUCUUUUACCCGGGAUGAUAAUGACCGUACCGGGAGAAUAAGCUCCGGCUAACUCCGUG
rnacentral:rRNA from 1 species